GUGCGUGCUAGGCGGGCGGCGGCGGCGGGGAGGGGGACGGGCGACAGGCAUCGCUUCUCGGCCUUUUGGCUAAGAUCAAGUGUAGUAUCUGUUCUUAUCAGUUUAAUAUCUGAUACGUCCUCUAUCCGAGGACAAAAUAUUAAGUGGAUUUUUGGAGCAGGGAGAUGGAAUAGGAGCUUGCUCCGUCCACUCCGCGCAUCGACCUGGUAUUGCAGUACCUCCAGGAACGGUGCACCUUCUCUCCCUAUUAUUCGUGUACUAAGUAUAGACUGCAGCCUCCCGGUUCUCACUUCUUUUUCCAGGCUGGCUUUUAUUUCGUUUGCACGUGUAGCUUUUUUUCCCUUUGCUUUCUGCUACUUGUGUAAACGGCCUGCGUCCUUCCGCGCUUCUCUGUUUUUCCUCGUCGUUCCCGCGAGAUUUCGCGUUUCUUUGCGACGCCGCGUCCGGGGCCGGUGAGUAGAUCACGCUGCCUCCGCCGGCGCUCGCUUUUCCCAGGCUGCGGUUUGGCUGCUCUUGGCUCUCGCGUUCUUUAACCAAGUAACGGGCGAGUGUCUCCGGUACCCAUUCGUACUGGGUGUCGUUGGCGGCCGAGAGACUGAAAUUGCGUGAGCUCCUGUAAUCGCCGCAACCCCAAAUCCGGACAUCGGUAUCCUCCGACGGGGGGAGGCGGUGUCUCCGGGGAACACACUUGAGUGACUGGCAGGGCCAAGGCUGCAGCUGGCUCGGAGGCUCCACGCCCCUCGCCGUUCAAGCCCGCCUGUCAGGAGAACAACAGGAGGACUGCUGCUAAGAGAGCAACUUGCUGACAGCCUCCCUCACCUGACUAAGGAUUGCACAGCGGUGUCUGGACGCCACCCUGCCACUGGCAAGCCACAUGAUGCUGACUCAAGCCACCACCUACGUUCAGCCCAUGCUGCACUCUGAUGCCUCCUACACGGGACUGGAUGGGGCCCAAACAGCCGAGGGGGCACUUGGGCAUCAAGGGACCUGAAUACUCCCCAAAUUGAUCAAAGGUGUCGCCCUGGCAAACCUAUGAUUAAGAGGGGGAAAUGACAAAAGAAAGAGAUAAGAACGAGGCCAGAGUCAACGUGACCCCCUCAAGGCUGAACUAUGGGCAGAAAUAAAAGAUUACAUUUUAACCUCCACUGUCACCAGGACGGCCGGAGAACGAUGCGGUCGUUUUUCCCUGCAGUUAGAACACUUAGAAAGCCCCGGGCACAAGACAAACUGUAGCUGGAAAGGGUGGCCGAUCAGAGCGGGACUCAGCCCUAACGUUGCAUACUCUGCACAUUUUUGCCUUUCCAACCUGGCCACCCCGAGACCGGGGGGGGUGGGAGGCGGGGGGUGCUCACCUAUCAACUUGCGAGUUGAGGCAUACUUCCCUGGUUUGCAAACGUUUAAUAAAGCUUCUCUUUUCUUUAAAAC
rnacentral:lncRNA from 1 species